GUUCCGUUCCGCACGACAAGUUCGUCCCCGUCCCCACGCACGGACGAAUCCAAUCUCAAUCCCCUCGCAUAGCCGCCGCCGCCGCCACCCUCCUCUCGCUCCUGCCGCAGGGAUCCGGCCGGCCACCAGUACUGCAGGCCCUCCACCGCGGCGCGCCGAGUCGGCGGAAGCCUCCGCUUCCCAGGCGCCCCCUAACCUGCCGCCGGCGACAGAGGAUCGAUCUCUCCACCGUACGCCGGAAACCAUACUGCCUCAGUCUGCGCAGUUCCCUCCUGUUUACUCGAGCGGUUUCCCCUCCGACGUCCAUCGCCCGUACUACCUCGCCGCCGGCGAGCUUCCCGCCGACUACAGGUAUGUGAAAAGUCAAGGUGACAAACAACUGUGGUAUAAGAAUGCUGCACAUUUGACAUCGGAUUGUGCACCUGAGCGAAAAUGGAACAUAUAUCAAUCUUGUAAUGGAUGUUCGGGAUGCUUUUGAGGGAAAUGAUUUGGUGAAAUAUUGAUUGCGAGGGUUUGGAACCAAGUGACAGCAAAAAAAAUGAAGCAAAGCUGAAGGAUCUUGUUCCUUGUGUUCUCCUGUCAUUUGACAAUGAGUAGAUAUUAAUCUACAGAGGCAGUGAAUGGAACUCUAGAUACUCAGCCUCCCACUAUCACUCCAAAAGUUCAAAAGAAUAAUCUGGCAGUGUCAACUGCUUUGAGUAACUCAGGAUGGGUGGUUAGAAGAGCUGGAAGGGAAGGCGCAAGAACAUGAUAAGAAGGAUGUUGCACAACAAGAGAAGAUAAAGGAGCUCUAGAUUGUUGUAGAGAAGAUUAUCAGUUUUUACUGGCGGCCGUUAGAAGCUGUAUAGAAGAUGAUGCAUUUUUAUUAGAUUCAAGUGAGAUUAUUCAGAUUUGCAUAAAAAAGUUGUAUAGAAGUUGAUGCAUUUUUAUUAGAUUCAAGUGAGAUUAUUCAGAUUUGCAUAAUCAGUGCCGAGGAUCGUGCAAAGCUAAAUUAUCUUUGUUGUUGCUGCUUAUCCUUGAGGAAGCUUGUGGUUAAGAACUGG
rnacentral:rRNA from 1 species